GUUUAUUCAUCUCCUCAGCUCACUCACAUAAUAGAAACAAUAAAAAAAUAGAACUGAAAAUGUACAUCAUACACCUGAUACAUAGAUUUAUAUAGAAUCUUUUUGUGUUUUUGUUUUUUUACAUAGGUACAAAUGUGAAUUAUAUAUAAAAAGACAAACUUAUGAAUUCACCUUAUAUUCUUUACACAUGAUUGAGGGAAACGUACAUCAGGACAGGAUGAAGAGGAGGCUUCAGGCACUUUCCUUUAACAAACAAAGACACUGCUUUCAGUUCACCUUCCUCGCCACAGACAGGAAAACACACGAGGGACACGUCAGCAGAGACGCAGGUCGGACAGACGGGCGAUCCUGCUGAGCGGCGGCGGCGGCGGCGUGGGAUCUUACAGGCUGAUCGUAUGUUUCACGUCACGGACGACAGCUACACGUCUUCUAUAAAAAUGAAGCUCAUAAUGAAAUCGUUUAUAUUACAGGUCAGUUUUAUAAAAUAGACUUUUACUGUUUCACACCUGCUGUUCAUAUUUAUUACUGGAUGACGUCACAAGACUGUAAUACUGCUCUCAGCCUACAGGUGGCACCGUUUAGAUUCUGACGUCAGCCGUAAACUAAAAAUAGAGUCCGCUGGACAUCACCGGGUCAUGAUGUCAGCAGACAGUAAGAGCGUGUGGGAGGGGCCAACGUGACCCAUGCACAGAGCCAACAAAGCGUCUUGGGGGACGGGAAUUUUAAAAGUUUAAACAGGUCAGGGGAUAUGAAGGGUCGUCUUUGCACCGACAUGUGACACCAGGAUCAUCUUCCAGCUGCAUUAAAACAUUAUUCUGAGAGUUUUAAUAGUCGAGAGCUUUUGGCCGUGAAGUGGAGAAACCGCAUCGCUGCAGAUGUUCUGAACAGUAGAGCGCCAGCGGAUGAUCUCCACGAUUGGUUAUUUGUUCAGAUUGAAAUCUCUUCUUCUGACAUCGAGCGACACGUCCGCGUCACUAAACUUCAGACCAGCUGUUGUGUUCAGCGCAGUGUUCUCGUCUGCUGCUCGACGCAGAGCUUCCUGCGACCCGG
ensembl:lncRNA